AUAUACUCGGAGCCUAGCUGCUGCAGGCCCAGAAGUCCCCUAUAGCAGCCCAAGCCCCCUUCGGCCUCCUCCCUGCUCUCUGGAAAGGCCCAAGUGGCCAGAAGCAGGAAUGGUUGGACAAGGGCCUCUGGGAGAGCCACGUGGGCCAGCCCAGUGCCUGCCAGCUCUCAGGCUGAUCUCACAAUGGCUCCUUUCACCAGAGAGAGGAGCUGGCCUGCCUGUAGCCCGCGAGGUGCUGUCCCAGGCCCCAGGGGCAUGGAAUGGGAGAUCAGAAACUAAGGGAUUGCUAAGGCUGAGAGAGGGCUUGGAACUGGGAGGGUGUCAGCCUGGAGCCUCCUUCAUUUGGAAAGAACCUGCUCCACAGUGAAGCCAACAAAGGAAGCAGAAAGAUGGGAGACCAAGUCCUGGUGGCAUCAUUUGAACCCCUAGAUCCAGCUGUACCUGAAGCAGAUAAGCUGAAUUAUUUUUUGUUUGUUUCUUGAGUCAGUACAUUUCCUUUUCAUUUAAGCCUCUUGGAAUUGUGUUUUCUGUCUCUUGCAACCCAGGACUUAUGACCAAUACAGCGGCCUCAAGCCAGUUUUGCAGUCCCAUCUGCCUUGCUCUGGACUCGCUAUUCCCUUGAACACCCCAUGUACUUGGUGACUUCUGCUGGGCACUCUACUUGGGGUGGACUUACUUUCCCCCUUUCAUACUUGCUCAGCUCUCUCUCUCUCUUUUUUAAAAGAUUUUAUUUACUUAUUUGACAGAGAGAGAGAGCAUGAGCACAAGUCGGGGGAGGCAGAGAGAGAAGCAGACUUCCCACUGAGCAGGGAGCCUGACGCGGGGCUCGAUCCCGGGACCCUAGGAUCAUGACCUGAACUGAAGGCAGAUACUUAACCGACUGAACCACCCAGGCGCCCCUGUCCUUGCUCAGCUCUUAAAAGUCCAGUUCAAAUGCCAGUUCCCUCACAGAGCCUUCCCCAACACCUCCCCAGGGAGAAUUUGCUCUUUGCUCCUGUGCACUCCGGAAGCAUUAUUAGACUGGUUCCUAGUGAUUUGCUUUUUUGUAUAUCCAUCUCUUCUGCCAAAUUAUUGAGCUUUUUGAGGGCAAGACCUAUGGUAUCUUGUUCUUUUCUUAGUACCCAGUGUGCCUGGCCUGGCACAGAGUAAGUGCUCAAGAAAUGCUUCUGGACUGAUCUGACUUGCCUUCGGACUGGGUGGGUCUGGCUGGGGUUGGUGCUACGACUAGGCAGCUCUGCGGCCCAUUUCCACCUCGGGGCAAAUGCUGUUCCUUCAACCUAAAAUGUUUAUCUCCCCUCAGCCUAAAUACCCUACUCAUCCAUCAGGCGACUCUGCCCCUCAUAUCUGACGAGAGGCCUGUUUUGGAGGCAAACAGACUUGAGUUCAAGCCCCGAUUCUUCUACAUGGCUCUUGAGUGAUGUGGGCUGAGUCACAGAACUUCCUUGAGCCUCGGUUUCCUUAAAAUAGCAAACACAUGGUGCUUAUUUGUGUGCUGGGCAUUGUUCUAAGUGCUUUCCAUGUCCUAGCACUUCCAGUUUUCUUAUCCGCCCUGUGAGGCGUAGGUUCUAUUAUUGUCCUCAUUCUAGUGACAGGAGAGCUGAGGCCCAGAGAGGUUAAGUGUUGCCCGAGGCCAUGGCCCGGAAGUGGCUGAGCGGGGGUUUGGAACUCCAGCCCCAGUCAAUGCUCUUCACACUCAACUGUCCUGCCGCAUGGAAAAUGGACAUACUAGAACCUUCUUCAUGAGGUUGUUGUGAAGUCCAACCCUCACAUAAUGUGUGUGGACGAUCCAGCAGAGCUGAGCACUGCUGUUACCACUGGUGUGUUCUGAGCCUGGCGGAGUCCAGUCCUCUCAGAGAAUCCUGAAUCUUGGGGUCGCGCUGCAGGGACUGGGGCCGUGGCUGGGCCAGAACAGUAUCCACUUGGCUCUGGCUACAUUCUAGGGCUCUCUCUGCUUGGCAGAAGGACUCUGCUCAUAAUGCUCAUUUGUCCAGACUGUGGUUCAGUGGCUUCUGCAUUCUCUGCACGCACUUCCCUGGGCCCAGAAGGGAUGGAGGGUGACGGGACAGGCUCCAGCCAGGCCAGGGAAAGCUGCUGGGAAUUAAGAGGUCUGGGGAGGCAGGAUUAGCCUAGUUUCUAGAAACCCCAGCUGUGCCACAGCCUCGUUGUGAGAACUUGGGUAAAUCGCAUAGUCUCCCUGGGCCUCAGUUCCUUCAUCUGUGAAAUGGGGACAGUAACUGUGCCUACUUUAUCAGGUGGUAUAGGGAUGAAAGAAGUUGCUGUAUUUUGCAGUACCUUUGUGGGCACCUAAUAGACAACAGUUAAUCAUUAGUUUUAUUUGGCUGUUUGCUCAGCCAGGCUGCCUAAGUUUCAGUCUUGGCUCUACCAUUUCCUAGCAGUGUGACCCUGAGCAAGUUACUUAACCUCUCUGUGCUCAGUUCCUCACUUAUAACCUGGGGACGAGGACAAAAUGCUAAUAAAACAACAAUGUGUCUGCCACGUUAAAAGUGCUCCGUAAGCUUUAGCGCUUGCUAUUGUUAUUCUCCAGCUGCAAGACCUUGGCCACAGCCUGUCCCUUCCCGUGCCUCAGUUUCACCACUAGUUCGGUGAAGUUUAGACUUGACUGUGAAUGCCAUGUGCUAACAGAUUCCCGGGCUCCACUCCACUCUACCAAAUCAGUCUGUCCUUGUUUUUGCUCAUCGGUGUAUUCUCAGAACCUGGCCUGGAUCUGGCCCUCACUAAAUAUUUACCAAAUUUAUGUUUUUCAUUAAACAAACACCAACUUAGUGCCUUUUUUUGCAUUUAUUUUUAUUUUUUUUUUAAGUAGACUCCACACCCAACAUGGGGCUUGAACUCAAGACCCCGAGAUCAAGAGUCGCAUUCUCUACCCACUGAGCCAGCCAGCCGCCAACUUAGUGCUUUUUAUGUGCCAGGCACUCUUCUGAGUGCUUUACAGAUGUGAAUGCAUUUAUUCCUCGCCAUCUUGGAGGGAGGGACUAUUAGUAUCACCAUUUUUUUUUUUUUUAAUUUAUUUGCGAGAGAGAGAAUGAGAGACAGCAUGAGAGGGAGGAGGGUCAGAGGGAGAAGCAGACUCCCUGCCGAGCAGGGAGCCAGAUGCGGGACUCAGUCCCGGGACUCCAGGAUCAUGACCUGAGCUGAAGGCAGUCGCCCAACCAACUGAGCCACCCAGGCGCCCCCCAUUUUUUUUUUUUUAACAGAUGGGGCAGCUGAGGCAGAGAGUGAAUGUGCUAGGGGAUUUGAACCCAGGUCCUCUGGUUCCAGGUUUAUCUUCUGAACUUCUCUGACCCUGUCCCCUCUGUUCAGGAGUGGGGGUGCACAGUGAACCCACCCAUCCGUGGGCAUCCAUUACUCAUCUCCUGGGAUGGGAUUCUCCCAUCUUCAGGGUGGGAGGAGGGGGUUGGCUGUGGGAUGUGGGGAGCUGAGCAAUGCGCCUAGCCCCUGGGGACAGCCUGCCAACACCUGCCACUCGGCCAAGUCCAAAAAUGGCUUGGGCGCAGCUCCCAUCCUGCUCUUCUUCCUGGGAAGGGAACAGGAAAGGCUCAGAGGUCUGGCUUUGGUACUGACUCACGGGGAGGUGGGGGGAGCCGCGGAGUCAGGAAGGGCUCAGCGUGCGUUAACUUUGUCUUCUUUCCUUGGACACUCACUGGAAUAAGGCUGGGUCCCCAGAGCCAGAGGCCUGAAUCCACCAAACCCAGAGCCUCAAGAUGCUCACAGACUUGGCAGGGGAAGGGAUGCUACAUUGAAACCCAGUCACAGCAUCCCUCCGGGAAGAGGAGGGUCUUUGCAUGGCCAAAUACACUGGUGGCCACCUCGGGUGUGAAGGGCACUGCCCUCUCCCUGGCCACAGCCUCCAGGGAAGGCCUCGGGCAAGGAAACAGGGAAGACUUGUGACCAUAAAUGGGAGAAGAGGACAGGAGCAGCGAAAUGGAGCCUGAAGAAAGAGGCAACCUGUCCAGAGUCCCAUUGUUCCCAGGGUGGAAAUGUUUGCUGGAUUUUUAAGAUGAAGGAUAUUUAAUAAUCAGACUCAACUGUUUAGCAGUGACUGCGUCGCCACUAAUCCCUCCGGACUGACCACGUGCCACACCCGGGCCUUCCCACCACUUAGGGGCAGAGGUGUUCCAGGACUGGGAGUGGGGGUGUGGACAGCACACAUGGGGCCCUAGACAGGUCUGGAGAGCGCCAAUUCAGUGGAUGCGGUCCUGGGAGGCCAAUGAGAUGGGCUGCCUGUAACCUGCCCAUCUCCUGGCUUUCUCCCUAGGUGGGCACUAGGGCUUUGAAUCAGGUGGUCAAGACUGCAGACUGCAGAACUAGAUUGUGCAGGCUUGACUCACGUACUGCCCGUGUAAAUGUGGGUCCUGUCCUAGACUCUCUGGGCCUUGGUUUCAUCUGCAAAAUGAGAAUAAUAACAUAAAGGCUAAGGUGUAAGGACUUUAUGUGGAUUAUCCUAUUUUAACCCUUGCUACAACCCUGUGGAGUAGGUACUCUUUGCAGGUGAGGACACUGAGGCAGGGGAAGCAGCUGACUACGUUUCCACAAUAGGUAGCAGAGCUGUGAAAACCCAGGAGGUCUCACUCCAGAAAAUGUGCUAUGACCUACUUCAUGGAUCACAUCAACCCAUGAAGGAAGUCCUGAUGCAUUCCUGGCCUCAGGAUUGAUUGAUUCAAUGGUUUGACGAUGGCAUAAGGACCCAGGAGCUUUCUUCAUCCUGCUCUGUGCAUUGGAUCCAGUCUAAGAGUCCCUACAAGAAUAUUUGAGCAACUUGCUGUGGUCUGGGAGAGGAAGAAGCUGCAGGUUUCACAGUAUUUUCAUGCAUACAUUCAAUUUGUUCAAACUGAAAUGUGUUAAUACACUAAGGAUGUCGAGAGACAAACCUCCUACGACUGACCUCCAUCAUUCAACUGAACCUGGGAAGUGGGGAAAAGUUGUGAGUCAAGUAUUACCGAAAGUCAGAAGAGGGAACAAGUAACUCUUUCCGGGCAGGGGGUGGGGGGGUGACAUUUGCUCCAGGCAUUCAGCAGUAGCAAACCUAGACUAGGUACCCACC